AAACCUUCAUGGGUUAUGUCGAUUUAUACAGGUUGUUCAACUGCAAAGUUCCUGCGCAUUUGCGCAUCAGUAUUUCGCUUCCUUUGCCAUAUUGAUACUAAAUGUUCCACAUUGGUUCAUGCCAUUCAUAAACGGUGAAUAAUUGGACCGACACAAUACCAGAGAAACUUGGUGUACUACCAUAAUUAAGUCAAUGUGGAACAUUUUUCUGCGAUUGCAGACCAGGACUGUGUGUGUGUGUGUAUGCAUAUACAUGUGACAGAAGGUGUUCCGUGUGUCCAUUAAUUCUUGCAUAAAGUUUUAAUCUUGCUUGCAUGAUAAGCUGUAGUCAUAAUGCCGCUGACAAUUCCAAAUUUCUAAUUGUAACAAACUGGCAAACCAAAUUGCCACAGGAGACUGGAAGCUACUGAAAAACAUGGUAAAGUGGAUUUCAGCAUUUUCUAUUGAUACAUUUCUAUUGGAAACAACUGUCCUUAGUAUCAUGCAUUGUAUUUUGCAGGAUGUUCCGAAACAGAUUGGAUCUGUGGACUGUGGUGUGUUCAUGUUGAUGUAUGCACUCUGUAUGGCCUUGGGGGAACCAUUCCACUUUACUGCUGUAAGUACGUCAUUAAGAAGAUAUUCUUUGCGACGCUGUAGAAUGUUGCAUAGUUAUCUAUACGAGAAAAAGGUGCCCUUUCUAACAUUCUGAAUGCAUGGUUUUUGUCUUUUUAUAUUCAGUCUAACAUGCAAAGGAUAAGGAAAUGGUGGUGCCUAACAGUGGUCUGGAAAAGUAUGUAUGGAAAGCAUCGUGUUUUACAUUGAGAUGCAUUCAGAUGCAGAAUCACGUGCCCUUUCUUUGCAGUGAAGGAGGUUUGUCAGAUAUAGAAUACCGGGUAAAGCUCAGCAGGGAGGUUUUUUAAGGUGAUAUUCCAUUAAUUCAUCAGUGGUAGUGCAUUCAGCUAAUGGAGAGGUUUUGCAUAUAUGGGUAUUAAUAACACCAUUGAUGAUACAUUGAGAUAUUGAAACAUUAUGUCUUGGUAGUGUAAAUGAUGUGUACUUGUACUACUCAGACAUAGACUGAGGAAGCUUCACACCUGCUGAAAGCAAACUUGGAGCCUCUCUCGAGGGAGUCGCGCAUCAUGAGGGACCUCUGCAGUGCCGUGUGCUGGAUUCGCAAGAGGUCUUGGAGGGUCAAAGUGACAACAGGAAUGACCCAUUCAUGUUUAUUUUUAAUAAUAAGGAGGACAUAGAAACCUUGCUCUCCAAUUGCGUUGAUAGGAUGGGUCUUAAAAUUCAUGCCAUGUUUACAUAAGGAAAAAUUUGUAUUCUUUUUAUUCUGUUCCAUAUACUUUUUUUUUUUGUUGCACGUUUGUUCAAAUUUAUAUAUCAAUACACUACAAAAAAUGUUUGCCAAAUGAUCUAUGUAUAGUGAUUUAUUUAUGUAGGACGUACAUUAUCUUUGAAUAACAGAAGUAUGGAGAAAAGCUCUGCGAGAAGCAUAAUUCUGCAGUCUUUAAGGCUUCAAUAUAAUACUCUGAGGGGGGAAAAAAUCUGGUCACCAUUGACAGUCACAAUCAGGACUACAGGUGAUAAAAUUUAAUAAAAUUGUGUACUUAUCAAAUUAUAAGUUAUGCAAUU